UGCCAAAGGUUCUCUGAGCGUACAUUCUAGAAGCAAGGAGCCUUGCUGAGAAGUGUGCCACUGGACCUACCCGUGCAGGUGGAGAGAGCCAGCCAGCCAAGUGUCAGUGCAAGAGGGGCUUCCCAUGCACUGUUUAGUGGGCAAAGCUUGCUGCAGCUGAGGAGAUCAUGGAAUUGGCAUCAUGAACCCAGGACGUGGAGAACUGAUGGAGGAAUGCAAUAGAUUAUGCCUAAACUUCUAUGUCUCUUCAGCACUCCAGAGAGUUCUACCACUAUGUGUAAAGCCUGAAGAAAGUACAGUUUCUCCUUGAUGAUGCUAGAAGGCCAAUAGAGUGCAAGAAGACAGAAGACCUCUGCUUUUAAUUUUAAUAUGUCCUCUAACAGCAGUUACUGAAAUCCUUUCUCACACUUACUAUUGAAGAACAGGACAUGCUUACUCACUUUAAGGUAUUUUGCAGUUGAGUUGCAAAUAAAAUUUAAUUCCUGCUUUUCAGUGGAGGUACAAUGCCAGUAAAUUUGGUCAGCAGAAUCAAACAGUUUGAGCCACAAACAGCUCCAGCUCAGUCACUGAGAGCAGAUUCCUUUCCUUGUUAAUCUCUUGAAUGCCUGCUUACAUGUGUGGGAAGUGUGGAAAUGGUAGCAGGCUUCAAAACAAAAAGUCUGGGAACUAGUUUACAUGUGCAAACUUCUUCUCUCCCACUGGCAGUGUCAGAAAUGGCUGAGCUGAUCAGGAUGAAAGCAUCAAAAAAGCAAAAAAAAAAAAAAGAAAGAAAAAAAAAAGCUCAAGCCAAGUGAAAGAAAGACUCAUAGAAGAUGUCAACAUAAAUGGGUAAAGUUUGAGCCAGAAAAAGCAGGGUGUUAAAAUAAGAGCGAUGCUGCAGUGUUAGUAUUCUGUGCUACCUGUAACUCCCUGAAUAACAGCACCAAAUAAUCAUGAUAGUAUUUUGUGUAUUUUAAGUACCAGUGAGAAUAAAGCUUUCUGCUAUAAUUUCUAUUAAUUCACACGAGUUUUCAUAACCUAGCUAUAGAACAAGUGAGGAGGAAUUGCUCAGCUCCUUUCCUUUAUUAUGAGCUAUGUUGUUUUGCUGGAGCUCAGAAGAGGUUUAAGAAUUAUAUCAUCAGAGAAGAAAAUCAAUUUUAUUGGUUGAUUUAUUUUUCUUUUAUACUUCACCUUUUAGGAGGCAAUUAUCUCUACUGCAUAAUUUCAUAUUUUUAAGCCAGCAUGUAAAUUAACUAUGAAGAUAUGUAGAUUCAUUUUGGAACAGACUCAAGCUUAUUCAUUUGUCAGAUGUGAUUAUAAUGUAUCUUAACAAGUUUAAUAA